rnacentral:lncRNA from 1 species
AGUACAACUAACACAUGUGACAGUUGCACCUUUGCAGAGCAAACUGACAUUGUGGCCCUUGCUGCAAGAGCUAUUUUAGACCAGGAGAGCAUUGAGAAGGGAAGGCUUGGCACACAGGCUGAUCUGAAGGAUGUUACUCCAAAGCCUUCUGAAACCUCUUUAGAGGGAGACCAGCCCUUUAAACCACAGAUCCACAAGGAGACUUGCACGGGACAGGCAGAUCCAACACCAAAUGAAUUUAACUCUCAGGAUUCAGUGGAAGUGACAGUUGAUAGGCCUCUUGAAAAGCCAAGCUGUUCUCUGGGAAUUAAAGCAUCAAAUCCCCC